GAGAAGGCAUGCAACAACACACAGAAUCACAUUCCUUUGAGCUUUAUAGAUAGAUUUCUCAUAUCGAUCUCUCUCAGCAGCGGUACAGAUCUCAGAUGUGCACAUCAACCGGUGCUCAUUCUUCCAAUAGAUAUCUAGAAUCUGAAAGCCGGCAAAGGGCACCACGAAGAGUGCAGGUUGUAGAAUGAGUGAAAUCAAAGAGACGAUGCGUUUCUUGAGCAACUUGGGGGAAGGAAUAGUAAGGAGAAUGGCGAUGGCAGCCUCCACUGCCACCGUAUAAGCCAAAAGCAUCCACUGCAACGCCAUUUUCAAUGGAAUGAAAUGCCCUAAUUCUGAAGCAGAAUACAGAAC
rnacentral:misc_RNA from 1 species